AUUGAACGCUGGCGGCAUGCUUUACACAUGCAAGUCGAACGGUAACAGGGAGCUUGCUCCGCUGACGAGUGGCGAACGGGUGAGUAAUGCGUCGGAACGUGCCGAGUAGUGGGGGAUAACGCAGCGAAAGUUGUGCUAAUACCGCAUACGUACUGAGGUAGAAAGUGGGGGACCUUCGGGCCUCACGCUAUUCGAGCGGCCGACGUCUGAUUAGCUAGUAGGUGAGGUAAAGGCUCACCUAGGCGACGAUCAGUAGCGGGUCUGAGAGGAUGAUCCGCCACACUGGGACUGAGAGACGGCCCAGACUCCUACGGGAGGCAGGAGUGGGGAAUUUUGGACAAUGGGCGAAAGCCUGAUCCAGCCAUGCCGCGUGUCUGAAGAAGGCCUUCGGGUUGUAAAGGACUUUUGUCGGGGAGGAAAUCCCCAGCGUUAAUACCGCUGGGGGAUGACAGUACCUGAAGAAUAAGCACCGGCUAACUACGUGCCAGCAGCCGCAGUAAAAC
rnacentral:rRNA from 1 species